rnacentral:rRNA from 1 species
AACGAACGCUGGCGGCAUGCCUAACACAUGCAAGUCGAACGAGACCUUCGGGUCUAGUUGCGCACGGGUGCGUAACGCGUGGGAACCUGCCCUUAGGUUCGGAAUAACUCCCCGAAAGGGGUGCUAAUACCGGAUAAUGUCUUCGGACCAAAGAUUUAUCGCCUUUGGAUGGGCCCGCGUUGGAUUAGCUAGUUGGUAGGGUAAAAGCAUACCAAGGCGACGAUCCAUAGCUGGUCUGAGAGGAUGAUCAGCCACACUGGGACUGAGACACGGCCCAGACUCCUACGGGAGGCAGCAGUGGGGAAUAUUGGACAAUGGGCGAAAGCCUGAUCCAGCAAUGCCGCGUGAGUGAUGAAGGCCUUAGGGUUGUAAAGCUCUUUUACACGAGAUGAUAAUGACAGUACCGGGAGAAUAAGCACCGGCUAACUCCGUG